rnacentral:rRNA from 1 species
AACGAACGCUGGCGGCAUGCCUAACACAUGCAAGUCGAACGAGACCUUUGGGUCUAGUGGCGCACGGGUGCUUAACGCUUGGGAAUCUGCCCUUGGGUUCGGAAUAACAGUGAGAAAUUGCUGCUAAUACCGGAUGAUGUCUUCGGACCAAAGAUUUAUCGCCCAGGGAUGAGCCCGCGUAGGAUUAGCUAGUUGGUGGGGUAAUGGCCUACCAAGGCGACGAUCCUUAGCUGGUCUGAGAGGAUGAUCAGCCACACUGGGACUGAGACACGGCCCAGACUCCUACGGGAGGCAGCAGUGGGGAAUAUUGGACAAUGGGCGCAAGCCUGAUCCAGCAAUGCCGCGUGAGUGAUGAAGGCCUUAGGGUUGUAAAGCUCUUUUACCAGGGAUGAUAAUGACAGUACCUGGAGAAUAAGCGCCGGCUAACUCCGUG